ensembl:lncRNA LINC02028 long intergenic non-protein coding RNA 2028
GCAAGCAAUUUCAUGCAUUUUUACAUUAAGUCAUUAAGUAAAAUCUUUUGUCUGUUUUGUAUGGUUGAGAUUAUUUAUAAGUAACAGGUAAAGGCCAAAGGUCCCCAGCAUUGCUUGACCUGUUUGAAUAUCAGUCCAUACCAAAGAUGUUUGGAGAAAUCACUGUUCCGACCACAGUGUCAACUAACACCAAAGGUAGUGUUUCAUUCACCUUAAACAUGUCACCAGAGGCUGAGUGAAACUACAUGCUUGCUUCCAUUUAUAUACAUGGUCAUUCGCCACUUAAGGAUGGGGAUACGUUCUGGGAAAUGCAUUGUUAGGUGAUUUCAUCAUUGUGUGAACACACCAUAGAGGGCACUUACACACACCUGGAUGGUAUGGCCUACUACACACCUAGGCUAUAUUGUACAGCCUAUUGCUCCCAGGCCACAAACUUGUACAGCAUGUCAUCCACUGAAUGCUGUGGACACUUAUAACUCAAUGGCACCAAAGAAGGCCCAGAGAGGUUUAACAACUUCCUCAGAAUCACACAGCUUCCAAAUGGUUGGGUUGGGUUUACAUUUAGGCGGUCUUGCUCCAGAGCCAGUGCUCCUAACCUUUGCAAGCCACGAACCUCAAGAAAGUGGAGAAGGAAACGCUGGGAAAUCUGGAAGUCAGACAUGCCUAGUUUAUCUCCCGGGAGCUGACUUCAUUUCUAAACGUAUAGGGGUUUCUUAGAGGAGCUUCAGAAUACUAAUCAUCGCUAGUGAGGGCACUUGGACACUUUGCU